rnacentral:rRNA from 1 species
GUGUCAGCCGCCGCGGUAAUACAGAGGUCUCGAGCGUUAGGCGGAAUCACUGGGCUUAAAGCGUGUGUAGGCGGGUCGUUAAGUACCUUGUGAAAUCCCACGGCUCAACCGUGGAACUGCUUGGUAUACUGGCGAUCUUGUGCCACCUAGGGGCGAGCGGAACAGAUGGUGGAGCGGUGAAAUGCGUAGAUAUCAUCUGGAACGCCAAUGGUGAAAACAGCUCGCUGGGGGUGUGCAGACGCUGAGACACGAAAGCCAGGGGAGCGAACGGGAUUAGAUACCCUUGUAGUCC